rnacentral:pre_miRNA from 1 species
GAUCAGAGAGACCUUAUUGAGUGCAGCGUUGAUGAAGUUCGUUCAUUCUCAGAUCUUCAGCAACGCUGCUCUCGAUAAUGUAUCUUUUUAUC